UCCUCUCCCCGGUCAACGUCAAUCACAUGCACCACUCCAGGUUUUAGAAUCAGGUCAUCCGUCUCUACCUGACUCCUGUUGUCCUCCACCUCCAUGUAGCUUCCUUUUGUUUGCUGGGCAGCUUUGCUGAAGGCUUCUUUAAAACGACGUUUGAAUUCAACAUCUGGACAGAAGACAUACUCAUAAAGGCCACCAGCGAGGACAGCUCCUAUGAUGGGCCCAACCCAAUAUAUCUAAGGAAAAGAUGGAAGAGGAUAGAGUGUCCAAAGGAUCGGGCGGGAUUCAUGCUGGCACCAGUAUAAUUGAU
rnacentral:lncRNA from 1 species